rnacentral:piRNA from 1 species
UGGAUGGUAUUUAUUGCCCACAGUC